AACGUAGGAGACAAACGUUAUCCGGAGUUACUGGGCGUAAAGGGCGUGUAGGUGGUUACGUAAGUCUGGCGUGAAAUAUCUCGGCUUAACCGAGGCAGGUCGUCGGAUACUGCGUGACUUGAGGACGGUAGAGGCGUGUGGAAUUCCGGGUGUAGUGGUGAAAUGCGUAGAGAUCCGGAGGAACACCAGUGGCGAAGGCGACACGCUGGGCCGUACCUGACACUGAUGCGCGACAGCAUGGGGAGCAAACAGG
rnacentral:rRNA from 1 species